rnacentral:snRNA from 1 species
GGAUGUGAGGGCGACCUGACUGUGACAUCUGUCACCCACAGAUCGCCAGGGUCCACUCAGCUGAUCUGGCUGGCCAGCGGGAGUCCCCUUCCUCCCUCACCGCCGCUCGUCUGCAGCUGCGUGCGGUGAAGGAGGCUGCCCGAGAGAGGAGGCCUGUCCCUCGGUCAAGGGUGCAGGAGUGGCUGCGCUCCUCCGGGAGAACUAAAGCUCCCAAGUU